GAGCGGUAUCAUUGCUUCUAUCCCAUAAACUAAAUUGAAGGAAGAUUCCCCAGUCGGUAUGUGGGGAGUCAUUCGAUAUGCCUAUAAAACUGGAUAUAGUUCUUCCAUCCAGAGGUCUUUGACUUCAUUCAGUUAGAUUUUUAGCCCAUGCAGGAUUGUUCGGUUCAUUACCUCCACCUCUUCAUUUGACUGUGGAUGGCCGACCGACAUAAGUUUGUGCAUAAUAUGAAACUUCGCAUAGAACUCUCUGAAAUUUUGGUUGUCAAAUUGUCGACCAUUGUCAG
rnacentral:lncRNA from 1 species